rnacentral:rRNA from 1 species
AGUGAACGCUGGCGGUAGGCCUAACACAUGCCAGUCGAACGGCAGCACAGUAAGAGCUUGCUCUUACGGGUGGCGAGUGGCGGACGGGUGAGGAAUACAUCGGAAUCUACUUUUUCGUGGGGGAUAACGUAGGGAAAUUUACGCUAAUACCGCAUACGACCUACGGGUGAAAGCAGGGGAUCUUCGGACCUUGCGCGAUUGAAUGAGCCGAUGUCGGAUUAGCUAGUUGGCGGGGUAAAGGCCCACCAAGGCGACGAUCCGUAGCUGGUCUGAGAGGAUGAUCAGCCACACUGGAACUGAGACACGGUCCAGACUCCUACGGGAGGCAGCAGUGGGGAAUAUUGGACAAUGGGCGCAAGCCUGAUCCAGCCAUACCGCGUGGGUGAAGAAGGCCUUCGGGUUGUAAAGCCCUUUUGUUGGGAAAGAAAAGCAGCAGGUUAAUACCCCGCUGUUCUGACGGUACCCAAAGAAUAAGCACCGGCUAACUUCGUG